AAAAUCCGUCGACUUUAGAAAUCGUGAGGGGUCAAGUCCCUCUAUCCCCCCAAAAAGACCGAUUUGACUAUUUCUCCUACCCUCUCUUUUUUUUUUUUUUCUUUUAUCACAAUCACAAGUGGUGUGGUAUAUAUGAUAUACGUACAAAUGAACAUCUUUGAACAAAGAAUCCCGAUUCACAAUUCAUAUCAUUGCUCAUACUGAAACUUAUAAAUUAUUCUAUUCAAGAAAUCUAAUUCCACGCUCAAGACUUUUAAUACUUUUUUUAUCUUUUUUAAUUGACAUAGACCCCAGUCAUCUAGUAAAAUGAGGAUGAUGCGCCGGUAAUGGUCGGGAUAGCUCAGCUGGUAAAGCAGAGGACUGAAAAUCCUCGUGUCACCAGUUCAAUA
rnacentral:tRNA from 1 species